rnacentral:lncRNA from 1 species
AGCUGGAGUUCCGGGUGGGCGUGGGCUUGGCGGGCCCUGCACUCGGAGCAGCUGGCCAGCCCUGCCAGUCCUGGGCAAUGAGGGGCUUAGCACCCGGGCCAAAGGCUGCGGAGGGUGUACUCGGUCCCCCAGCAGUGCCAGCCCGCUGGCACUGCGCUCGAUUUCUCGCCGGGCCUUAGCUGCCUCCCCGCGGGGCAGGGCUCGGGACCUGCAGCCUGCCAUGCCUGAGCCUCCCCGCGCUCUGUGGGCUCCUGUGCGGCCCGAGCCUCCCCGACGAGCACCGCCCCCUGCUCCACGGCGCCCAGUCCCAUCGACCACCCAAAGGCUGAGGAGUGCGGGCGCGCGGCACGGGACUGGCAGGCAGCUCCACCUGUAGCCCAGGUGCGGGAUCCACUGGAGACUGAGACACUGGAUUGGUGCCUGAAACUGGUACACACAGUGGGAGGAACGGAUGAGAGCAAGCAUGGACAACCACAUCCCUUGCCAAGCAAGCAUCAGAGCUAGAAUGGCUGGUGAGGUUGGGUUGGAUAGAAGCAACUUCUGAAGUGCUAUGUAGAAAUUAUACCUUUGCUUGUGUUCACAGUGCUUCUAGAAUGGUGCUUCCUAAUUAACCCCACUUAACUUAAAGUGGUUCUUAACCAUAUAAUUUUCAAGGUUUCUAUGAACUACCUGAAACGUAUAUAAAAAUAUAGGCAGAUAUGUCCAUAUUAGUAUUUAUUAUCUGGAGUCAAAGCUUCUCCUUAGGCUGUGGGACUCAAAGACAGCUGAACUUACUGCAGCUCCCAUUGGUGAAACCUCUGGGCAUGCUUACAAGGUUGUGAAAUCAAGGCCUAUCCCCGUUGCUAGAGUUUACAAUCAAAAGAGCACAGAACAAAUACAAAAAUAAGCCUCAUCACAUAGGACUGGCAAACUCAAGGAAGAUCUUGGACUUAAUUAUUUUGAAAACCUAAAAUGAAGGGUUUGUUUCAGAAAAGAAAGAGAAGGCAAUGAGUUAGAUACAGGCAUUUGGGCUUCAAAGGCCUGGAGCUGUUAAAAACGUAGGUUUCUUUUCCAGAUUACAACUUUUCACACCCACUGGGGUUCAUUCUUUUGCAGAAAUGCAUUCUGCCUUUUAGAAGGAAAAUAUUAUCUUCAGCUCUCUGAAUUACUCAAGGCAAACUCUGAAGCCAGGAGCAUCCAUAAUCAUAUUAUCAUCACAGACAAUAAUACAGCAUUAGAAACAGCAAGUUCCCUGAUACAACUCAAUGAAACCCAUAGUCAGGUUCUCUAUGUCAUAUUAACAUAUCCAAGUCAACUCCUAUGCUAUAUUUCUGUCUUUCUCAAAAUAAGAGUUAUCACUGUUAUAGAAUAAGGGAAUUAUCAAUGUUAUACAAAUCUGCUGCCAGCAUUGAGUUAUUUGGUGCGUGUCAGCCAUCCAUCAUCUGUACACAGAAGCUGCACACAGAAUCUGUGUAGACUCAACUACCUGUUUCAUUAUGAUAUUCAAAUGGAAAAAUGCCCAGAGUUCCUGCAAAAUAAAGUUACUUACACAGAGCUUACUACAUAAUACAAACCCAAUAAAUCUUGACUAUUAUUUAAUUAUUGUUAAUUUUUCAUGAUUCUCCCUCUGACAUUAACAUUUGAAAGAACAUCUUCAUGAAAUCAUAGGUAGAGAUAACCAAACCUUAGGAAGUUUUAUCAGCUUACAGAACAACUAACAUACACCAAAAAUAUAUCAUUCUAUUUAAUAGAGAAAAAAAGCUAAGAUUUCACAACCUCUCUUCCUGAUUCAUUUCAGUGUUUAACAACCCUGUCAGGAAAUUCCUCAAUUAUUCUAACCCAGCUACCUCAUACUGCAGUUUAAGUUUAUUUCCUCAUAUUCUGGCUUCAAUAGAGAUAAAGAACAGAUGGUCACUAUCCUUUGCAUAAUAAUAAUAUUAAUGUUUUAUGGGUACAAAGACUUAGUAAAUCUUUUCUUGAUUAUUUUCUUUACCACAAGAAAGUCUAGUUCAUUAAACAUCAUCAGUAGCACUGUGUUUGAAUAUACUAGACAAGUGUUAAAUAUCAAGAAAACACAUCUAUUAUUUGUAACGUGCACAAAACAUUCUCAAAUUUGAAUAUUUUGAGCAACCAUCUGCAUACACUAUAUUUCAGCAAGGUAGCAAAUGAUGUUUUUGAAUAUUUACUUGAAGAAGAGAAAAUUCUUAAUUAAGCAAUAGUAGAAUAAGUUCUGCAGAAAAAUUAAAAUGAUUUGGAUAGAGUUUGUCAUAUUUUUGAAUUCACGUUCAACUUAAAAGAUAACCGAAUAAUUUUAGAUUAAUUUACCUAGGCCAAUAUAAACUUCAGAACAAAUUAUGAAGAAAUACUUUAUAAAAACAAAACCACAAAGUUCUGAAUAAAAAAAUAACACCUAUCAUCAAUGAGCCUUUGAUAAGACUGAUGAAAUAAGCAAACAUCUGUUAACUUAGCUAAGAAAAGUUGAGAGUAUGUCAACUCUCAAAUAUAAGAUAAAAACAAAAAUUUUUACUAAAAAGUAGAAUGUCUAAAACAUGGACAGUUAGAGGAUUUUUGUGUAUAUUUUAAAAGCGAAAGAAAGAUUUCUGGCAUCAAAAGGGCAAUUCGCUUAUCUACAUCUUCAGGGAUUAAAUUUUAUCAUUUUAGUUGUUUGUCAUCUUAUUGUGUUUCUCUUUUCUGUGUGUUUUUUCCCAGUAUAUUUGUUGUCUCUGUCUCUCUCACACACACUUUCACAUGUCCAGAAACUUUCCAGCUUUUAAAAAACUAUUCACUCAUAAAAUUAAAUUCUAUUCCUAUUAACAAAUCACUUAUAUAUUGAAAAUUAUAAGAAUUCAAUCUAAAAAGCGUGAAUGGCUUUUCGUCUCCCUAGUACUCUGGGAUAGAAUGUUGAUGUUUUACAAGUCUGCUCUAAUUUUCACAGGAGUGGACAAACCUACACACAGAGCUGAACAUUACAUAUUUUCCUGACUUGUUUUCUACAAUUUUUAUACUUACCCAAAUCCAACAUGCUUUUUCCUAGAAAAUGUUCUCAGGUUCUUAAACUGUUCAUUUCAGGAAAACUCAAUCUACUUGUAUGGUUCGGUCUUGUGUAUCAUCUUACACAGUAACAAAAAAGCAAAUUUGAUUCAUUUAAAUUACAGUUAAAUUUAUUUCUAAAAGACAAAUAUAUCUUUGUCCACUUAAAUGGAUGUAUGUCCAUCUCACAUGUGUGAGAGAUUGGUUGUUAAGAACUCACAGCACCAAUAUAUCCAUAUUUGUGCUAACAGAGCAUGCUAACUUCCUUUUCCUAAUCCCUGCAUAUUUUGUUCUACAGUUGUCCUAUAAACAUACAAUGUAAAAGUACAGCUUCCCAUUCAUUAGUGGAAACAUGUAAGCUAUGUGCAUGUCAAAAUCUUAUUUUAAAGAAUUUCAAAUAAAUUUUAAAGAACUCUUUUAAAAUUCCUAAUUGUGUUAGACUCCUCUUUUGAAUAUUUUCAUGACACCUUCUACUUCUUGUUUACCACAAUUAGCAUGGGUAUAAUUAUUAAAUUACUUUGUAAUUACUUGUUUAUAAUUUUUUAAAUUACAUUGAAAU